GGCCUUUACAUCGAAACCUUGGCUGAAAUGGUUCUUCAUUUUGGCCAUUAUAGCCUGUGUGGUGGCCUUUAAUAUCCUGAUCAUUAUGUGCAUCUAUGCUAGGAGGAAAAUAUCCUAUAAUGUGGAUCAUAAAGAAAAUCAAUUGGGUCUUAUAAAAUUAUCAGC